rnacentral:rRNA from 1 species
GAUGAACGCUGGCGGCGUGCCUAAUACAUGCAAGUCGAGCGAACGGACGAGAAGCUUGCUUUUCUGAUGUUAGCGGCGGACGGGUGAGUAACACGUGGAUAACCUACCUAUAAGACUGGGAUAACUUCGGGAAACCGGAGCUAAUACCGGAUAAUAUUUUGAACCUCAUGGUUCAAAAGUGAAAGACGGUCUUGCUGUCACUUAUAGAUGGAUCCGCGCUGCAUUAGCUAGUUGGUAAGGUAACGGCUUACCAAGGCAACGAUGCAUAGCCGACCUGAGAGGGUGGUCGGGCACACGGGAACUGAGAAACGGUCCAGACUCCGAAGGGAGGAAGCAGUAGGGAAUCUUCCGCAAUGGGGGAAAGCCGGACGGAGCAACGCCGCGUGAGUGAUGAAGGUCUUCGGAUCGGAAAACUCUGUUAUUAGGGAAGAACAUAUGUGUAAGUAACUGUGCACAUCUUGACGGUACCUAAUCAGAAAGCCACGGCUAACUACGUG